UGCAAGCUUGUAUUCUUGUCAGUGUCCCAG
rnacentral:piRNA from 1 species